CCUACGUGUGGCAGCAGUGGGGAAUAUUGGACAAUGGGCGAAAGCCUGAUCCAGCCAUGCCGCGUGUGUGAAGAAGGCCUUCGGGUUGUAAAGCACUUUCAGUGGGGAAGAAAGCCUUGGGGCUAAUACCCUCGAGGAAGGACAUCACCCACAGAAGAAGCACCGGCUAACUCCGUGCCAGCAGCCGCGGUAAUACGGAGGGUGCGAGCGUUAAUCGGAAUUACUGGGCGUAAAGCGCGCGUAGGCGGUCUGAUAAGCCGGUUGUGAAAGCCCCGGGCUCAACCUGGGAACGGCAUCCGGAACUGUCAGGCUAGAGUGCAGGAGAGGAAGGUAGAAUUCCCGGUGGAGCGGUGAAAUGCGUAGAGAUCGGGAGGAAUACCAGUGGCGAAGGCGGCCUUCUGGACUGACACUGACGCUGAGGUGCGAAAGCGUGGGUAGCAAACAGGAUUAGAUACCCCAGUAGUC
rnacentral:rRNA from 1 species